rnacentral:rRNA from 1 species
AUUGAACGCUGGCGGCAUGCUUUACACAUGCAAGUCGAACGGUAACAGGUCUUCGGAUGCUGACGAGUGGCGAACGGGUGAGUAAUACAUCGGAACGUGCCUAGUAGUGGGGGAUAACUACUCGAAAGAGUGGCUAAUACCGCAUGAGAUCUACGGAUGAAAGCAGGGGAUCGCAAGACCUUGUGCUACUAGAGCGGCCGAUGGCAGAUUAGGUAGUUGGUGGGAUAAAAGCUUACCAAGCCGACGAUCUGUAGCUGGUCUGAGAGGACGAUCAGCCACACUGGGACUGAGACACGGCCCAGACUCCUACGGGAGGCAGCAGUGGGGAAUUUUGGACAAUGGGCGCAAGCCUGAUCCAGCAAUGCCGCGUGCAGGAUGAAGGCCUUCGGGUUGUAAACUGCUUUUGUACGGAACGAAAAGCCCUGGGUUAAUACCCUGGGGUCAUGACGGUACCGUAAGAAUAAGCACCGGCUGACUACGUGCCAGCCGCCGCCGUAAGAC